CCUGCAGGUAAAAAGCAGAAGCAGUCAAAGUGCUGGUGUGUUCUGGACACUAUGUUUGAAAACAUUUAGGCAAGAAGAGUGCAAGAAGCAGACAUAACAACUGCAUUUAUUUCCAUAAUUCCCCAUUUAAAUGGCCUUUUCUUUUUGCUUAGACAAUGCCUACGCCUAGCCACAGCAGCUCCCUCAUACAGACUCCGCAAGCCAAGAGGCCGUGGAGCCAAAUGCAGGCAGCCAGCACACCUCGAACAGCCACCUUGACUGCGGGUGUGUCACCCUAGUCGCCAAGGAAACAUUUGAGGGAAAGUGACAGGCAAUGUGAACAGCCACUUCUCCAUGUAAACAAUACUCUUUCUCUCGGAUGACUCCUACGCCUCGCCACGCCAGCACACUUGUGCACAAAGAUGCCGCAGAGGCACGUGCAGGUCAGAGGCAAGAAGCAGUGGCACUGGUGUCGACUUUUACCCAAUUUCUUUUUCUUACACUGAGGCAGCCAGCACACCUCGAACAGCCACCUUGACUGCGGGUGUGUCAGUAGAUUCCUGUUGUACAUAUGCUCAUAAUAAACUUCAGUAAACUUGAACUUCAUAAUAAACUUGAAGGCAAAUGGGA